UACGAAGGGGGCUAGCGUUGCUCGGAAUUACUGGGCGUAAAGGGCGCGUAGGCGGACAGUUUAGUCAGAGGUGAAAGCCCAGGGCUCAACCUUGGAACUGCCUUUGAUACUGGCUGUCUUGAGUUCGGGAGAGGUGAGUGGAAUGCCGAGUGUAGAGGUGAAAUUCGUAGAUAUUCGGCGGAACACCAGUGGCGAAGGCGACUUCCUGGCCUGUUCUUGACGCUGAGGCGCGAAAGCUAGGGGAGCAAACGGG
rnacentral:rRNA from 1 species